UACGAAGGGUGCAAGCGUUGUUCGGAAUCAUUGGGCGUAAAGCGCGCGCAGGCGGAUCAGUAAGUCAGGUGUGAAAUCUCGGAGCUCAACUCCGAAACUGCGCCUGAAACUACUAGUCUAGAAUGUCGGAGGGGGCAGGGGAAUUUCACGUGUAGGGGUAAAAUCCGUAGAGAUGUGAAGGAACACCGGGGGCGAAGGCGCCUGCCUGGACGACUAUUGACGCUGAGGCGCGAAAGCGUGGGGAGCAAACAGA
rnacentral:rRNA from 1 species